rnacentral:rRNA from 1 species
UGGGGAAUAUUGCACAAUGGGGGAAACCCUGAUGCAGCGACGCCGCGUGAACGAAGAAGGUAUUCGUAUCGUAAAGUUCUGUCCUAUGGGAAGAUAAUGACAGUACCAUAGAAGAAAGCUCCGGCUAAAUACGUGCCAGCAGCCGCGGUAAUACGUAUGGAGCGAGCGUUGUCCGGAAUUAUUGGGCGUAAAGGGUACGCAGGCGGUUUAAUAAGUCGAAUGUUAAAGAUCGGGGCUCAACCCCGCAAAGCAUUGGAAACUGAUAAACUUGAGUAGUGGAGAGGAAAGUGGAAUUCCUAGUGUAGUGGUGAAAUAAGUAGAUAUUAGGAGGAAUACCAGUAGCGAAGGCGACUUUCUGGACACAAACUGACGCUGAGGUACGAAAGAGUGGGGAGCAAACAGG